GCGAAGGCGGCCUCCUGGACCACUCCUGACACUCAGACGCGAAAGCUAGGGUAGCAAACGGGAUUAGAGACCCCGGUAGUCCUAGCCCUAAACGAUGUAGACUUGGCGUCGGUGGUUUAAUCGCCAUCGGUGUCGUAGCUAACGCGNUAAGUCUACCGCCUGGGGACUACGGCCGCAAGGUUAAAACUCAAAGGAAUUGACGGGUCCCCGCACAAGCAGCGGAGCGUGUGGUUUAAUUCGAUGCUACACGAAGAACCUUACCUGGGUUUGACAUAGAGGUAGUAGGGAAGCGAAAGCGGACCGACCCUUCGGGGAGCCUCUACAGGUGUUGCAUGGCUGUCGUCAGCUCGUGUCGUGAGAUGUUCGGUUAAGUCCGCUAACGAGCGCAACCCUCGCUGUGUGUUACAAGUGUCACACGGUACUGCCGAUAUUAAGUCA
rnacentral:rRNA from 1 species